UACGUAGGGUGCAAGCGUUAUCCGGAAUCAUUGGGCGUAAAGCGUUCGUAGGUGGUCAGGCAAGUCUAUGGUUAAAUCCGGUCGCUCAACGAUCGAACCGCUGUAGAAACUAUCUGACUGGAGGGUGGCAAAGGCAACUGGAAUUCCACAUGUAGGGGUAAAAUCCGUUGAUAUGUGGAGGAACACCAAAAGCGAAGGCAGGUUGCUGGGCCAUUCCUGACACUGAGGAACGAAAGCGUGGGGAGCAAAC
rnacentral:rRNA from 1 species